UAUUGUUAGCCAAAGUUAAUUUUUCAAUCAGCUUGGAAAUUGGUAAAUAUUUCACUGUUUUAAAAACCUUUACCUGUAAAUGCAUAAGGAAUAUUUCUGGAUCAUAUGUAUGUAAUUGGAUUUUGUGUUCAACGAGUGAAACAUAUGAUUAAAAUCGGAGAAAAGUUUACCCAUCUUCUAAAAAUUCAUUGGAAAGUGCGGAAGCAGUAAACAGGAUGGUAGACCAUGCCGAACACGUUCGGCAGCUAGCUCACUGGACUAAGGAUGAAAUCAAUGAUCUCCUCGAAAAUAACGAAUGUCCAGGUCAUUGGUUUAAUAAUCCGGUGCCAACUUAUGCUCUUUUAGAAGAGAUACGCUCUGCCAUUGAUGAAUCACAGAGUAUGUAUUAUCGGAAAGCUUUUCCUUUAGUUUUAAAUUUUCUUGGGCUAAAACAACCAACACAUUUGGUAGGUUUAAUCUCAAAGAUCAAGCGCCAUGUUUAAAAAGCUGUGAAAACAGGAAAUUACAAUAUCGUUAGCAAAAAGAUUAAACAUAUUUGUUUGGUGCCAAGUGGUAAAAAACUAAUAACAUAUAUUGGUAAGGUUUUACGUAUAAUUAAUUCAAGGAUAUUGAAGAACUGAUGGAAGAUGAAUACCAGUCUUAUUAUGACAAGGGAUAUACAUUUUAUACUAUUGUAUAUGAUCCCCCGUAUAACCACUUUAAAAUUUUGUGCAUCUGAUAUACUUUAAUUUUUGUUUUGAGUGCUAUACCUACUAUAAAUGAUUUGAAUUUAUCUUUCUUUCAACUAUACAUCAGACUCAAAAUAUCGUUAAGAGUAUUUACAUAAAAAUGUAAAUAUAAACUUGAAUAACAAAAUUGCCAUCAGGAAUACAUCAAAUUGAAGAAUAGGCCUAUUGAAAAGCCUUCAAUUGCUUAAACUUUCACUAAUGUGAAAGAUCAUUCCAUUUCUUACCUAAUGUGGAUACAUUUCGUUUGAGUUCGACCACACACGAUAUCAGUUUGUUUUCAGGUGUAUUAAUGCGCAAAAUGAAAAAAAAUUAUUAGAUUUUUAGAUGAAUAUUUAUAAAAAUAACGAAGACCCAACAGUAGUAACAAACAGGAUACUAGCAAAAAAUCUCUAUUUUUUUAAGAAGCAUUCUAAGAGAGUUGUUAUAUGCCAUAUUUAGGAUAAGUAUAUAUUUAGGGGAUUCUGAUCAGAUAAUUGAUAACUGUUGCCGGCACCAGGAUGACUUGUGCUGGCAGCAGUUAAGAAGUGCAUCAACAUUGUAUUUGUCACUGAAACUGCUCAUUUAGGUAUAUCUCAGUACUUUAAAUAUGAAAUUAAUGGAAAUCAUGUAAAGUCUUUAUUCGAUGUUAAAUUAUAAAACAUGAAAUGCUUGGUACUUGAUAGAAGCACGCCCUGUUUCUAUUUUAAUUGUACACAAAUUUACCAAUUAUAAUUAAGAUUUACUGUAAGUUCAGUAACACCCAUCCUGUAUUAUUUUGCAUUGAUCCUUAAAUCUAGCAGUACAGUAUUUACAAUAAUGUAGAAAAAAAGUGAUUAAAUUCUGUUGCAUGUUCCUCAAGAUAUUUUAUCAUGGUGACUCUGGUUUGCGUGCCAGUUAUAUUUUACCUGUUGGGCCAUGUGGCCGUGUAUUCAAUUUUUGAAUAAAGUGUGCCUAAAUACAAUACAA
rnacentral:lncRNA from 1 species